rnacentral:rRNA from 1 species
CCCUUAGAUGUUCUGGGCAGCACGCGCGCUACAAUGGUCUUCGCAAACGGAUGCAUUCUCGAAGGAGCAUGCCAAUCUUGGAAUCUAUGCCUUGGUCGGGACAGUUGCUUGCAAUUUUUCGACUCGAACCAGGAAUUCCUUGUAAUCGUGAUUCAUCACAUCACGAUGAAUACGUCCCUGCCCUUUGUACACACCGCCCGUCGCUCCUACCGAUCGAAGAGUUAGGUGAAUUGUUUUGAUCGAUAAGAUUUGACUAUGGUCAACUCUCGUUGUGAAAUUCUGUGAAUCUGACUGUUUAGAGGAAGGAAAAGUCGUAACA